AUUUUAAUAGACAUUUGCUUCCCUUAGAAAAAAAAGUUUUUCAAUCAUUGGAUAUAAAACAUGAUUGAUACAAUAUCUAGAGCACUGAAUGCAAUACAAUGUUUUUAAAAGUAAGCAUGUUCAAUAUAGUGAUCGUCAUAAACAAUGCUUGUGUUUAAAUGUACUUUCUAGUGGUUUGUAAACACCAAUUACACAUAUGAAAAUGGUUAUAGUUCAAUUCUGCGUUUUUAUGAAACUUAAGAAUGGAGGGGUUUUGUGUCUCACCCACUUUGAAAUUAAGUGACAUUGGUGUAUUUUUUCUCGUAGAUUUGCUUUAGUAAUGGAGCGGUAAUUGUGGUUUUGCUUUAUUUUUUUUUGGGGGGGGGGGGUUGGGAGGUUGAGCUUCACCCCCACCCAGACUACGCUCGUGGAAUUUGGUGACUGCAAUUUUGUUUUAAGUUUUUUAUUGGAGAGGGAUAACCUAACCCCUCCCCCCGGCUACGAUGGUGGAAACUGGUGACUGUAGUUUUGCUUUAUUUUUUUAUUGGAGGAAGUGUUAUCCUUAAAAACUCCUAUGCUGGUGGAGAUAGAAAAACUACAUUUACUUUAGUUUGUUUUUGUUUUCUUCGAGGAGGGUUUUAACUAGACCUUCCCCUUUACCUUGUAAGCGUAGCCAAAGCUAUUAUGAGGGGAAUUUUAUUUCGGAAGAGUGUGUUGAUAUGUUGCCCUUGAUAUAUUUCUACAUAACACUUUGUGUUGACAAUCCUUUAAUUCUUACCUGCCAGGUGCAUAUGAUUCCAU